UACAGAGGUGGCAAGCGUUGUUCGGAAUUACUGGGCGUAAAGGGCGCGUAGGCGGCCAUCUAAGUCAGACGUGAAAUCCCCCGGCUUAACCUGGGAACUGCGUCUGAUACUGGACGGCUUGAGUAUGGGAGAGGGAUGUAGAAUUCCAGGUGUAGCGGUGAAAUGCGUAGAUAUCUGGAGGAAUACCGGUGGCGAAGGCGGCAUCCUGGACCGACAUUGACGCUGAUGAGCGAAAGCUAGGGGAGCAAACGGG
rnacentral:rRNA from 1 species